AGUCUGACGGAGCACGCCGCGUGAGUGAUGAAGGUUUUCGGAUCGUAAAGCUCUGUUGUUAGGGAAGAACAAGUGCGAGAGUAACUGCUCGCACCUUGACGGUACCUAACCAGAAAGCCACGGCUAACUACGUGCCAGCAGCCGCGGUAAUACGUAGGUGGCAAGCGUUGUCCGGAAUUAUUGGGCGUAAAGGGCUCGCAGGCGGUUUCUUAAGUCUGAUGUGAAAGCCCCCGGCUCAACCGGGGAGGGUCAUUGGAAACUGGGAAACUUGAGUGCAGAAGAGGAGAGUGGAAUUCCACGUGUAGCGGUGAAAUGCGUAGAGAUGUGGAGGAACACCAGUGGCGAAGGCGACUCUCUGGUCUGUAACUGACGCUGAGGAGCGAAAGCGUGGGGAGCGAACAGGAUUAGAUACCCUGGUAGUCCACGCCGUAAACGAUGAGUGCUAAGUGUUAGGGGGUUUCCGCCCCUUAGUGCUGCAGCUAACGCAUUAAGCACUCCGCCUGGG
rnacentral:rRNA from 1 species